GGGUUCUCUCGACGCUACCGUACGGAAAAUUUAUAAAAGGACACGCAAACUUCAAAUCAUUGCCGAUUGUCUCGACCUUUUCAGAACAGAACUGCCGGUUACUAGAUAAUUCACCAUGGAGGACGGCCAUAGCAAGACCGUCGAAGAAGUGCUUAGUCACUACCGAGUGGAUCAAGAACGGGGUCUGAGCUUGGAUCAGGUCAAGGAAUAUCAGAAGAAGUGGGGUCCCAACGAACUCCCAGCUGAAGAGGGAAAAACAAUCUGGCAAUUAGUUCUGGAACAGUUCGAUGAUCUGUUGGUUAAGAUUCUGCUGCUGGCUGCUAUCAUUUCCUUUGUCCUCGCCCUUUUUGAAGAACAUGAAGGUGUUGAAGCCUUUGUGGAACCCCUGGUCAUUUUGCUCAUUCUGAUCGCCAACGCCUGCGUCGGCGUGUGGCAGGAACGUAAUGCCGAAUCCGCCAUUGAAGCCCUGAAGGAGUACGAACCCGAGAUGGGCAAGGUCGUCCGUGGCGACAAGUCCGGUGUGCAGAAGCUGCGCGCCAAGGAGAUCGUGCCCGGUGACAUCGUUGAGGUGUCCGUCGGUGACAAGAUCCCCGCCGAUAUCCGUCUGAUCAAGAUCUUCUCCACCACCAUCCGUAUCGAUCAGUCCAUCCUGACCGGUGAGUCCGUGUCCGUGAUCAAGCACACCGAUGCCAUUCCGGAUCCCCGUGCCGUCAACCAGGACAAGAAGAACAUUCUGUUCUCCGGUACCAACGUUGCCGCCGGUAAGGCUCGUGGUGUUGUCAUCGGAACCGGUUUGAACACCGCCAUCGGUAAGAUCCGUACCGAGAUGUCGGAAACUGAGGAAAUCAAGACCCCCCUGCAGCAGAAGCUGGAUGAGUUCGGUGAGCAGCUGUCCAAGGUUAUCUCCCUGAUCUGUAUUGCCGUCUGGGCCAUCAACAUCGGUCACUUUAACGAUCCAGCUCACGGUGGCUCGUGGAUCAAGGGUGCCGUCUACUAUUUCAAGAUUGCCGUCGCUCUGGCUGUUGCUGCCAUCCCUGAAGGUCUGCCCGCUGUCAUCACCACUUGUCUGGCUCUGGGUACCCGCCGUAUGGCCAAGAAGAACGCUAUUGUCCGCUCCCUGCCAUCCGUCGAAACCCUGGGUUGCACCUCGGUUAUCUGCUCUGAUAAGACUGGUACGCUGACCACCAACCAGAUGUCCGUCUCGCGUAUGUUCGUCUUCGACAAGGUUGAAGGCAACGACAGCAGCUUCACUGAAUUCGAAAUCUCCGGCUCCACCUACGAACCAAUUGGUGAAGUUACCAUGAAGGGUCAGAGGGUCAAGACUUCCGACUACGAUAUUCUGCAGGAACUGGGCACCAUUUGCAUCAUGUGCAAUGACUCCGCUAUUGAUUUCAACGAAGUCAAGAAGGUCUUUGAAAAGGUCGGUGAAGCCACCGAAACCGCUCUGAUUGUCCUCGCUGAGAAGAUGAAUCCCUUCAACGUUACCAAGCAGGGUCUGGAUCGCCGUUCGGCAGCUAUCUGCGUCCGUCAGGAAAUUGAAACCAAGUGGAAGAAGGAAUUCACUCUGGAAUUCUCCCGCGAUCGUAAAUCCAUGUCCAGCUACUGUACCCCACUGAAGGCUUCCCGCCUCGGAAACGGACCAAAACUGUUCUGCAAGGGUGCCCCUGAAGGUCUCCUGGAUCGUUGUACACAUGCCCGUGUCGGAACCACCAAGGUCCCACUGACUUCGACUCUGAAGAACCGCAUCCUGGAACUGACUCGCCAGUACGGUACCGGUCGCGAUACCCUCCGUUGUUUGGCCCUGGCCACUGCCGAUAGCCCAAUGAAGCCAGAAGAUAUGGAUCUUAACGAUUCGAACAAGUUCUACACUUAUGAAGUCAACCUAACCUUUAUCGGUGUUGUUGGUAUGCUUGAUCCCCCACGUAAGGAAGUCUUCGAUUCGAUUGUCCGCUGCCGUGCUGCCGGUAUCCGCGUUAUUGUCAUCACCGGUGACAACAAGGCUACCGCUGAGGCUAUCUGCCGUCGUAUUGGUGUGUUCACUGAGGAAGAAGAUACCACCGGCAAGUCCUACUCCGGACGUGAAUUUGAUGAUCUGUCAGUCAGCGAACAGCGUGAAGCUUGCGCUCGUGCUCGUCUGUUCUCGCGUGUCGAACCUGCUCACAAGUCCAAGAUCGUCGAGUAUCUGCAAAGCAUGAACGAAAUCUCCGCUAUGACUGGUGAUGGUGUCAAUGACGCCCCUGCUCUGAAGAAGGCCGAAAUUGGUAUUGCUAUGGGUUCUGGUACCGCUGUCGCCAAGUCUGCCUCCGAAAUGGUGUUGGCUGAUGAUAACUUCUCCUCCAUUGUUGCCGCCGUUGAGGAAGGUCGUGCUAUCUACAACAACAUGAAGCAGUUCAUCCGUUAUCUGAUUUCCUCCAACAUUGGUGAGGUCGUGUCCAUCUUCUUGACUGCUGCCCUUGGUCUGCCAGAGGCUCUGAUCCCAGUCCAGCUGCUGUGGGUCAACUUGGUUACUGAUGGUCUGCCAGCUACCGCUCUCGGCUUCAACCCGCCAGAUCUUGACAUCAUGGACAAGCCACCACGCAAGGCCAAUGAAGGUUUGAUCUCCGGCUGGCUCUUCUUCCGUUACAUGGCUAUUGGUGGUUAUGUCGGUGCCGCUACCGUCGGUGGUGCUGCCUGGUGGUUCAUGUUCUCCGAGAACGGUCCACAGCUCACCUACUGGCAUUUGACCCACCAUCUGUCCUGCAUUGCCGGUGGUGAUGAGUUCAAGGGAGUUGACUGCAAGGUCUUCAGCGACCCUCACCCAAUGACCAUGGCUCUGUCCGUCCUGGUCACCAUUGAGAUGUUGAACGCCAUGAACAGCUUGUCUGAGAACCAGUCUCUGAUCACCAUGCCCCCAUGGUCGAACUUGUGGCUCAUCGGAUCCAUGGCUCUGUCGUUCGGUCUCCACUUCGUCAUCCUGCACGUCGAGGUGCUUUCCACCGUGUUCCAGGUCACCCCACUGAAUGGAGACGAAUGGUUGACUGUGAUGAAGUUCUCGCUGCCAGUUGUACUGCUAGAUGAAAUCCUGAAGUUCGUCGCCAGAAGGAUCUCCGACGCCAACCCUGAUUUCCAUUAAGUCAUCAAACAAUCCACAAGCUUCUUAUUGUUUCAUCAGUUCAACUGUUAAUCAUCACACCCAAAUACCCUCCAGAGCCAAAUAAAACCACCAUCACGAACCCCGCCGUGCCAAAGCCAGCAACAACGUCUUUGAUACAUGCUUCACAAAAAAAAACAUCCCUAUGCCCCCGUACCCUGGCUACCCAUUUCCUGUGUCGUACUCCCCCGCGGCACUAGAUACCAACAGCAGGAAGAAUCGAAAGCAUAAGAAGGACUAGGAACCGGCCAUCGAAGCGCGGGGUCCAGACAUACGGCAGUCCUCCUCGGCUAUCGCGAUGAUCGGACAGAUCGUGUCUGUUUCCGCUCAACGAAUGCUCACCUGGAAGCAUGGAAAUAGAUCAACGCAGUCUGUCCGGAAGCCAACAUCUAACCAUCCUCGGAUAUAGCCAAAGCCCUUCCUUUUAUCUAUGUUACCGCAUACUUCAUCAACCUCGUCCUGUGUUUGUGAUGUUGUUCUUGUUGCUACUACUGUCAACUGUGGUUGUCAACCUGUCCAUUACGAAACCAUAUCAUCAACCGGAAGAAUCUUCCGAUUAAAAAACGCCACCGAUAGUGGAGAAUCAACUUAUCAACACAUCGACAGCAACCUUACGUCAUCCUUACUGCUUACUUUUCCAAAGCCAUCCAACCCUACAGUCUGUAUGCCAUCCUACAGCGACAUUUUAGAAUUAUAUUAGAUUGUUUUUUUUUUUUAAAGAGUGAUAUAAUUCUAAGCAGUCGAUCAACAAUCUACGGAAACAAGCGAAACUAUUAAGUCCUGGAACUAAACUCUAGUAGCAUUUAACAGCUGCUACUACAUGACUAUCGUGUUUCUUACGAGAUUCAACGUAAUAAUGCAACAAUAAAUUAUUAAAAAAAAAGUCGAAACAAUAAAACAAACAAACAAAAAAACAAAAAAAUAUCGUUAUUUAUUAAAACUAGGAAGGAAACCUACAUCGAUUUCUUCUACUAAGAAGUAUUAAAGCUGAAUACCAAAAAAAAAAGAAUCGUGAGAAAUAAUAGCAAAUGUCUGGUUUUCAACAACUAAUCAAAUGAUAAAAUGAGUUGAUUUUCCUUUUCUCGUUUUACUUGAGAGCAAAUUCGAAUUAUUACCAAAACCAAAACAAACAAAAAAAAAAGUCAAAACAAUACAUUAGUGAGCGUGUCCCAAAA